rnacentral:lncRNA from 1 species
GGUUUUUCUUUGAAGGAUGCAGAGAUUAUUUUAUUCCCCAAGUCAACAUUAUCUGCACGUGAGCCAUGUGGGCUGUCUCCUUAGUCUCUUCAUCUCCUUUCCUGGUGCUGAACCCUCCCCUCUUUCUUUUCCCUUUUGGAGAACUUAACACCUCUGGUUCCUGUGUCUGCACAAAGGUGGAAACCAUUGAAUCUUAACUCUCGAAUCCCCUCCUCCCUCUUCAAAAUCUCCCACUUGGUCACCCUCUGGCUCUUCUUUUGCGUCUGACUUUGAAAACUAACUCCCUCCACAUUUCUCCAAAGGAUGAGGGUGACCUGCCCAAAGCAUCACUUCUUCCCAUGCUGGAAGAGUCCAUGCGUGAAACUGCUGCGUCUUACUGCUGAGAACGGCAGCUAUUUGAUUGUGCCAUUGACACAGAAAGGGAGACCUUUAUCCUGAUUUCAGAUCCCAACAACAGAUUUUAACUCUUUCGGCGUCCUGGACUCUAAAUUCACCUGAUCACUCAUGAGAAUACGUUUUCCAGUGGCACUUAACCCACCGUAAGAAUCUUGGGUUCAUCUUGAGUUAGCGUAACAGAAACCUCUAGAGAAAACAUCAAGCAACCCUAAAAUGUUGAGGCAAAGCCAUGUGGCUUCACUAAUAGGUUCUUAUUUAGGAGAUUUAGAACUUUUCCAGAUGUCCCACCAUUCUGCCUUUUGAUGAUGCCACUGCCCUCACUAAUAGUCUUUCCAGAUUAGAGCAGGUCUUUGCCCUACUCCAAAAGUGAGUGGCUCCUCAUUGCAAAUAGCCUUGUUUUUGAAGCUCACCUUGAUUUGACUGUGUUCUACCUUUCCGUCCUCUUCUCUAUCUUUCCAUAUAUUUUACACUGGAGGCACACCAGGUGGACUCUUACUUUCACAUCUCCAUGCCUUUGCUUACACUUUCCCUCAUCCUGCAGGGAUCCUUUGUCCCAAU